GCACAGGAGAGCUUGCUCUCUGGGUGGCGAGUGGCGGACGGGUGAGGAAUACAUCGGAAUCUACCUUUUCGUGGGGGAUAACGUAGGGAAACUUACGCUAAUACCGCAUACGACCUACGGGUGAAAGUGGGGGACCGCAAGGCCUCACGCGAUUAGAUGAGCCGAUGUCCGAUUAGCUAGUUGGCGGGGUAAUGGCCCACCAAGGCGACGAUCGGUAGCUGGUCUGAGAGGAUGAUCAGCCACACUGGAACUGAGACACGGUCCAGACUCCUACGGGAGGCAGCAGUGGGGAAUAUUGGACAAUGGGCGCAAGCCUGAUCCAGCCAUACCGCGUGGGUGAAGAAGGCCUUCGGGUUGUAAAGCCCUUUUGUUGGGAAAGAAAUCCUAUCGGUUAAUAACCGGUGGGGAUGACGGUACCCAAAGAAUAAGCACCGGCUAACUUCGUGCCAGCAGCCGCGGUAAUACGAAGGGUGCAAGCGUUACUCGGAAUUACUGGGCGUAAAGCGUGCGUAGGUGGUGGUUUAAGUCUGCUGUGAAAGCCCUGGGCUCAACCUGGGAAUUGCAGUGGAU
rnacentral:rRNA from 1 species